UGUAUUCUUGGAACCAUAGAUCUACAAUUGGC
rnacentral:piRNA from 1 species